rnacentral:snRNA from 1 species
GUGCUUGCUUCGGCAGCACAUAUACUAAAAUUGGAACGCUACAGAGAAGAUUAGCAUGGCCCCUGCGCAAGGAUGACAGGCAAAUUCGUGGAGUGUUCCAUAUUUUU